rnacentral:rRNA from 1 species
CCUACGGGUGGCAGCAGUGGGGGAUAUUGGACAAUGGGGGGAACCCUGAUCCAGCGACGCCGCGUGAGUGAAGAAGUAUUUCGGUAUGUAAAGCUCUGUCAGCAGGGAAGAAAGAAAUGACGGUACCUGACCAAGAAGCCCCGGCUAACUACGUGCCAGCAGCCGCGGUAAUACGUAGGGGGCAAGCGUUAUCCGGAAUUACUGGGUGUAAAGGGAGCGUAGACGGUUAAGUAAGUCUGGAGUGAAAGGCCGGGGCCCAACCCCGGGACUGCUCUGGAAACUAUUGAACUUGAGUGCAGGAGAGGUAAGCGGAAUUCCUAGUGUAGCGGUGAAAUGCGUAGAUAUUAGGAGGAACACCAGUGGCGAAGGCGGCUUGCUGCAGCGGAACUGACGCUGAUGCUCGAAAGCGCGGGUAUCGAACAGGAUUAGAUACCCGGGUAGUC